rnacentral:rRNA from 1 species
UACGUAGGUGGCAAGCGUUGUCCGGAUUUACUGGGCGUAAAGGGCGUGCAGGCGGUUUGUUUAGUCUAGGGUGAAAGCUCCCGGCUUAACUGGGAGAGGUCCUUGGAUACUGGCAAACUUGAGGGAGGCAGAGGAAAGUGGAAUUCCCGGUGUAGUGGUGAUAUGCGUAGAUAUCGGAAGGAACACCAGUGGCGAAGGCGGCUUUCUGGGCCUUACCGACGCUGAGACGCGAAAGCGUGGGGAGCAAACAGG